AUGGAGACGGCGGUACCUCAUGUCCCAUGUGGGUUUGUCUGUGUCCCAUGUCCUGCUCUUCUUCGCCGGCGAUUGCAUCUUCACUUCAUAGGGCUCAUGCCCGCUGGACAUGGACAUGGAAGGGAACAACAAGGACUUGAAGCACGGACACCGGUGAAGAUUACAUUUCAUUCGAUUGGUUUGAGCCGACCAAUCGGAAAUGAACGGCCACAUGCCUUCUUCAACCUCCAGACCUGCCUAGCUAGCCAGCACAGACCUAACCGUAGCCCGCCGCCGGCGGUGUUCCCGCCUGGUCCUCCCCUCAACCGCCGUCCACCACCCGUGCCCGUCGUGCCCUGCCAUUGCAGCUCUCUAGCUCGAAGCGUCGAACCCGGCCCUUGGAAGAAAGCAAAAAUCACGAACGCCAAGCUAGCAGUCGGAGCAGUGAGGGUGAGUCCCCUCCCCCUCCGUCCCAUCGAUCACGGCCGGCCUUCUUCUUCUGUUGAAAUUAUGCUGACCGUGUGCUGCCUGCUGCGUUGUAGUCCUAGGCUCCUAGCAGACAUGGACGGCAAGAAGAAGGUGCCUCCUCCGCGGCCUGUGACGGUGGCCAAGAAGAAGAUGCCAGUUUCUGACUGGCUGGCCUGCGGUUGGGCGCUCCUCAGCGCCUGCGCCAUCGCCUUGGGCCACUACCACCGCCUCUUCUGCAGCCAGGCCACGUUGAUUGUGCGGUGCGGGUCCGUUGAGCUGACGGGCAAGAAGGCCAUCUACUUCAGCGCCCUCUGGAUCGGGGCCCUAUGCUGCGCCGCGUCCCAGGCGGCCGCGGCGGCGCUGGCGUUGCUGCUCCCACGCCGCCACCGCUGGGUCAGCCGUGAAGACCUGGCCUUCCUCGCGGUCGUGCUCAACAGCGCCGGCCACUGCAUGUACGACGGCUCCGUCUACAUCCUCCGCCGAGGAGACUACUUCACCGUGGCCUUGCUCUGGUUCUGGGUGGGCGACAUCAUCAGCUCCCUCCUCCUGCAAGCAUCAGUGCCUCUGUUAUCCCUAUUCUUCCCGAUUCCCAUCUGUUCUUUAUUUGACGACCCCUCGCUGGGGCGGCCGUGCGGCACGACGCCGUCCUCUUCGAUAUGCCUGCGCGGACUACCCCUCGCCAGCGGCGGCCGUGCGGCACGACGCCAUCCUCUUCGAUAUGCCUACGCGGACUACCCCUCGUCGGCGGCGGCCGUGCGACAUCUGCUACGUCACGCGCGAAGUAGGCCAUGGCGACGAACUGCACAAGUGAACCCCGAUGCCGAGAAACAGCGAGUGACACACCGCCGGCGAGAAGCAUGGCCACGGCCAAGUGGCAUGCAGCUUGCGUUAUACGCUGGCCGUGCCGCGAGUAGAGGAGCCAGGAGCACGGCCGGCGUCGAGUACACCGGCGGCUGGAGUUUGGAUAGAUGGGACUGGCUACAAGAAUCGCGAUUUGAGAACGACGAAGUGGGGAAUGAGAUGACCGCUGCUUUGAGAUUCGUAUUGCCAGCUGUCAGACGGGGGAGAGGGUCUCCCGUUCAGCUGCGUACGACCAGGUCGUAUAGGAUUUUUCCCCCUCUCUGUUCUGUCAGGCUGAGCUUCACUCUCCUCAGAGCCUGCGCCACGGCCUUCGGCCUCUACCACCUCACAUGCAGCGAGGCCACGUUGGUUCUGCGGUGCGCGUGCGUUGAGCUGACGGGCACCAAGGCCGCCUUCUUCAGCGCCCUCUGGAUCGGCAUCCUCUGCUGCACCGCGUCCCAAGCGGCCGCGGCGGCGCUGGCGCUGCUGCUCCCGCGCCGCCACAGCCGGGUCAGCCGUGAACUGGCCUCCCUCGCGCUCGUGCUCGCCACCGCCGGCCACAGCAUGUACAACGGCGCCGCCUACCUCCUCCGCGCAGAAUACUAUAUGCUGCGAGGACUGAUUGUUAUCGAGUGCCCAUCGUUGUUUUCCAUGCAACCACCUUCAACUGCUGGCGUAUGUAUCCAUCGGGGUUCAGCCGUGUCGUCGGUUAUUUGGUCCGGAUUUUUCGUUACCUGUUUCCUCUCGAUCGGCUGGGGCCGGGGCUCCGUUGAGAUCGGUGUUGACGUCUUUUGGCUCCGUCGAUCUGGUGUGGACUCGACGACGACUUGCGGGGUUUCAGCGGUUCGUCCUCUCUCCUCCUCUCGAGCCCUAACCUCGGGCCCCCUCGAUCGCCUCCGGCGCCCUCGAUUGCCGCUGAUCGCCCCCGACACCCUCGAUCGCCGCCGAUCGCACCCGCUGUGUCUACCCCUCCUGCUCCUACUCCCCUCCCCCCUCCAUCGCAAGUCACCCCACUCGGGUCGCGGCGCCAGAUCUUCCGACGAGUCGCUAAUCCAGUCCUUCCCCCGAGCGGACGCCACCUUCCCCUACCCGAGAGGCCACAUCAUCCUCAUCGACGUGCAUCAACUUUUUCACGCCGGAUCUUCGCUUAACAUAUGCUAUCCAUCCGUAACAUUGACUAUCUGUUUUCGCUGGCAGCAUAACAACAUGGAUGAUAAAGGCAACGAUGGCAAAAACUUGGGUGAUACAGGCAAGGAUGACAAGGACAUGGGUCAUAGAGGCAACGAAGGCAAAGGCAUGGAUGAUAAGGACAAUGAUUUCGUAGCCAUGGACCCCAAAGGAAUGGAUAUUAUGAAGAAGACUUUCAGGACUGAGGAAGAAGCCUACAUGUUCUACGUAGGCUAUGCGAGAAAAAAGGGGUUUGGUGUUAGAAAGGAUGAUCUGAAGUACAGGGGUCCGGGUCCGAAACAAAAUGCAUACAGAAGGACAUACCAGUGCUGCAAACAAGGAUGGCGGGCCAUUAAGCACUUUAACAGAGCUGCAAGAAAAAGAACACCGAGGGGUCUUUCUCGAAUGACUGACACACAAAAGGCCGAUGUCAUCGAGUAUGCUGUCGGUGGACUUCGAACACAUCAGAUUAUGAAUGUAAUGGAGAAGAAUGCUGGAGGUCCCGACAAGCUUGGAUUUAUAGAUCGAGAUCUAUACAACCAUGUUUCAAUCCAGAAGAAGCGCAAGAUAGAAGGCAUUUUGCGUAAAGUCCCAUAUGAUAAAGUCCCAUAUGGCAGGGAUGCUAGAGAAUUGCAACGUAAGGAUGGUAACGACUCGGAUGCUAAGGUUCCUACAGACUUGGAAGGUAAGGAUGCUGAGGACUUGCAUGCAAAAAACUUGGAUGCUGAGGAUCCCAAUGACUUGGAAGGCAAGGAUGGUGUGGACUUGCAUGCCAAAAACCUGGAUGCUAAGGAUCCCAAUGACUUGGAAGCCGCAGCUAGCGAUUCACAGUCAGAACAGGUGAUGGAGCUCCUCCAGAGUAUAUUGGUUGAUGGAGAAAAAACUGAUUUGGAUGAAGGCCAGAAAUCGUUUGUUCCUUUGCCAGCAUACUUCUCUGCUGCUCGCGAAUGCUGCACUGAUGACGUGGAAAAUCCAAUCAAAAUAAUUCCAAAAGGGAGACCAACUACCGAAGAAUCGAACAAGAGGAUUAAAUCCAGGCGCGAGCGGAUGAGAGGGAAAAAAAGCAACGAAGAAAAAAGCGGGGAAAUCAAUGGUCACAAGGAGGAAGAAGCAAAAAGAGAAAAGACUCAGAGACAGAAGAAGACACAGAGUCAGAUACAGAAGAAGAGGAAGCUUCAAAAAAAGCAACGAAAAGAAGAUGGAGAUUCAGCUGCAGAAGAAGAGGAAGAUUCAGCUGCACAAGAAGAGGAAGAUUCAGAUGCAGAAGAAGAGGAAGAUUCAGAUGCAGAAGAUGGUGGGCUGAGGAGGGCUAGGAAGAGACCAUUGGAGGUUGCAGAAGAGGAUUAUGCAAAACCAAACAAGUGGGCAUUACCACAAUUGAAACGCAAGGGCGCUCCAAAUGUCAAAGCUGGGAGGAAGAAAAAUAACGAUAACAAGGGUGCGCGAGGAAAACCAGUGAAGAAAGACUCUAGGAAGGGCGGUAAAGAACAGGCCAAAGGGGUGAUGAAGACAAAAAGGCCUGCUAGGAAUGUACCAAAGGCUGAGUGA
rnacentral:rRNA from 1 species